rnacentral:rRNA from 1 species
GAUGAACGCUGGCGGCGUGCCUUACACAUGCAAGUCGAACGGCAGCGGACCUUCGGGUGCCGGCGAGUGGCGAACGGGUGAGUAAUGCAUCGGAACGUACCUUUCAGUGGGGGAUAACGUAGCGAAAGUUACGAUAAUACCGCAUAUUCUGUGAGCAGGAAAGCAGGGGAUCGCAAGACCUUGCGCUGAUUGAGCGGCCGAUGUCAGAUUAGCUAGUUGGUGAGGUAAAGGCUCACCAAGGCGACGAUCUGUAGCGGGUCUGAGAGGAUGAUCCGCCACACUGGAACUGAGACACGGUCCAGACUCCUACGGGAGGCAGCAGUGGGGAAUUUUGGACAAUGGGGGCAACCCUGAUCCAGCCAUGCCGCGUGAGUGAAGAAGGCCUUCGGGUUGUAAAGCUCUUUCGGCCGGGAAGAAAUCGCACGGGCUAAUACCCUGUGUGGAUGACGGUACCGGAAUAAGAAGCACCGGCUAACUACGUGCCAGCCGCCGCGGUAA